GGAAGUGGUAGCUCAGUGGUUAAGGUUUUGGACUGCUGGUCAGAAGGUUGUGAGUUCAAAUCACAGUACCUCCA